rnacentral:rRNA from 1 species
UACGGAGGGUGCAAACGUUGCUCGGAAUCAUUGGGCGUAAAGCGCACGUAGGCGGACCGCUAAGUCGGAUGUGAAAGCCCUCGGCUUAACCGAGGAAGUGCAUUCGAAACUGACAGUCUUGAGUAUGGAAGAGGGUCGCGGAAUUCCCGGUGUAGAGGUGAAAUUCGUAGAUAUCGGGAGGAACACCAGUGGCGAAGGCGGCGACCUGGGCCAAUACUGACGCUGAGGUGCGAAAGCGUGGGGAGAAAACAGG